CACGAACCGUACGAACGUUAUUCGGAAUUACUGGGCUUAAAGGGUUUGUAGGCGGCCAUGUAAGUGGGGUGUGAAAGCCCUCGGCUCAACCGAGGAAUAGCGCUCCAAACUGUAUGGCUUGAGGGAGACAGGGGUAAGCGGAACUGAUGGUGGAGCGGUGAAAUGCGUUGAUAUCAUCAGGAACACCAGUGGCGAAAGCGGCUUACUGGGUCUCUUCUGACGCUGAGGUACGAAAGCUAGGGGAGCGAAGGGG
rnacentral:rRNA from 1 species